GUCCCUGAAGCGCAAUGGAAAGCACGUUGGAGCACUAAUUCAGAGGUCAUGGGUUCAAAUCCCACCAGGGAUG